UACGUAGGGUGCAAGCGUUAAUCGGAAUUACUGGCGUAAGCGUGCGCAGGCGGUUAUGUAAGACAGGUGUGAAAUCCCGGCUUACCUGGAACUGCAUUGUGACUGCAUAGCUAGAGUACGGUAGAGGAUGAUUCCGCGUGUAGCAGUGAAUGCGUAGAGUAUGCGAGAACACGAUGCGAGCAUCCUGACUGAUGACUCGACGCUCAUGCACGAAGCGUGGAGCACAGAUUACGACCGUUGUGAGAUCGAGACAAGUACUCGUCGCCUCACGUAAC
rnacentral:rRNA from 1 species